AGUGGCGGACGGGUGAGUAACGCGUGAGAAUCUGCCUUCAGGUCGGGGACAACAGAGGGAAACUUCUGCUAAUCCCGGAUGAGCCUUAGGGUAAAAAAUUUAUUGCCUGGAGAUGAGCUCGCGUCUGAUUAGCUAGUUGGUAAGGUAAAAGCUUACCAAGGCAACGAUCAGUAGCUGGUCUGAGAGGAUGAGCAGCCACACUGGGACUGAGACACGGCCCAGACUCCUACGGGAGGCAGCAGUGGGGAAUUUUCCGCAAUGGGCGAAAGCCUGACGGAGCAAGACCGCGUGGGGGAGGUAGGCUCUAGGGUUGUAAACCCCUUUUCUUUGGGAAGAACAAAAUGACGGUACCAAAGGAAUCAGCCUCGGCUAACUCCGUGCCAGCAGCCGCGGUAAUACGGAGGAGGCAAGCGUUAUCCGGAAUGAUUGGGCGUAAAGCGUCCGCAGGUGGCAAUGUAAGUCUGCUGUCAAAACCCAGGGCUCAACUCUGGUCAGGCAGUGGAAACUACAUAGCUAGAGUUCGGUAGGGGCAAAGGGAAUUCCCGGUGUAGCGGUGAAAUGCGUAGAGAUCGGGAAGAACAUCGGUGGCGAAAGCGCUUUGCUAGACCGAAACUGACACUCAGGGACGAAAGCUAGGGGAGCGAAUGGGAUUAGAUACCCC
rnacentral:rRNA from 1 species